rnacentral:rRNA from 1 species
UGGGGAAUUUUGGACAAUGGGCGCAAGCCUGAUCCAGCAAUGCCGCGUGCAGGAAGAAGGCCUUCGGGUUGUAAACUGCUUUUGUACGGAACGAAAAGGUCUGGGUUAAUACCCUGGGCUCAUGACGGUACCGUAAGAAUAAGCACCGGCUAACUACGUGCCAGCAGCCGCGGUAAUACGUAGGGUGCAAGCGUUAAUCGGAAUUACUGGGCGUAAAGCGUGCGCAGGCGGUUUUGUAAGACAGGCGUGAAAUCCCCGGGCUCAACCUGGGAAUGGCGCUUGUGACUGCAAAGCUGGAGUGCGGCAGAGGGGGAUGGAAUUCCGCGUGUAGCAGUGAAAUGCGUAGAUAUGCGGAGGAACACCAAUGGCGAAGGCAAUCCCCUGGGCCUGCACUGACGCUCAUGCACGAAAGCGUGGGGAGCAAACAGGAUUAGAUACCCUGGUAGUCCACGCCCUAAACGAUGUCAACUGGUUGUUGGUCCUUAGCUGGAUCAGUAACGAAGCUAACGCGUGAAGUUGACUGCCUGGGGAGUACGGCCGCAAGGUUG